UGGGGAAUAUUGGGCAAUGGAGGGAACUCUGACCCAGCGACGCCGCGAGCGGGAUGAAGGCCUUCGGGUUGUAAACCGCUUUCAGCAAGGAAGAAGCGAAAGUGACGGUACUUGCAGAAGAAGCACCGGCUAACUAUGUGCCAGCAGCCGCGGUAAUACAUAGGGUGCAAGCGUUGUCCGGAAUUAUUGGGCGUAAAGAGCUCGUAGGUCGUUUGUUACGUCGGAUGUGAAAACCUGAGGCUCAACCUCAGGCCUGCAUUCGAUACGGGCAAACUAGAGUUUGGUAGGGGAGACUGGAAUUCCUGGUGUAGCGGUGGAAUGCGCAGAUAUCAGGAGGAACACCAAUGGCGAAGGCAGGUCUCUGGGCCAAUACUGACACUGAGGAGCGAAAGCGUGGGGAGCGAACAGG
rnacentral:rRNA from 1 species